AGAAUCAACGCUGGCGGCGUGCCUAACACAUGCAAGUCGAACGAGAAAGUGGAGCAAUCCAUGAGUAAAGUGGCGCACGGGUGAGUAACACGUGACUAACCUACCCUGGAGUGGGGGAUAACUGAGGGAAACCUUAGCUAAUACCGCAUAAUACCUACGGGUCAAAGGAGCAAUUCGCUUCAGGAGGGGGUCGCGGCCGAUUAGUUAGUUGGCGGGGUAAUGGCCCACCAAGACAGUGAUCGGUAUCCGGCCUGAGAGGGCGCACGGACACACUGGAACUGAAACACGGUCCAGACUCCUACGGGAGGCAGCAGUGGGAAUUUGCGCAAUGGGGGAAACCCUGACGCAGCAACGCCGCGUGGAGGAUGAAGUCCUUCGGGACGUAAACUCCUUUCGAUCGGGACGAUUAUGACGGUACCGGAAGAAGAAGCCCGGCUAACUUCGCGCCAGCAGCCGC
rnacentral:rRNA from 1 species